UAACCUUGCGAAAGUAAGACUAAUACCCAAUGAUAUCCCACGAAGGCAUCCGAAUGGGAUUAAAGAUUUAUCGGUGAUGGAUGGGGAUGCGUCUGAUUAGCUUGUUGGCGGGGUAACGGCCCACCAAGGCAACGAUCAGUAGGGGUUCUGAGAGGAAGGUCCCCCACAUUGGAACUGAGACACGGUCCAAACUCCUACGGGAGGCAGCAGUGAGGAAUAUUGGUCAAUGGGCGAGAGCCUGAACCAGCCAAGUAGCGUGCAGGAUGACGGCCCUAUGGGUUGUAAACUGCUUUUAUAAGGGAAUAAAGUGGGUCUCGUGAGACUUUUUGCAUGUACCUUAUGAAUAAGGACCGGCUAAUUCCGUG
rnacentral:rRNA from 1 species